UACAGAGGGUGCGAGCGUUGUCCGGAAUCACUGGGCGUAAAGCGCACGUAGGCGGGUCGUUAAGUCAGGGGUGAAAUCCUGGAGCUCAACUCCAGAACUGCCCUUGAUACUGGCGAUCUCGAGUUCGGGAGAGGUGAGUGGAACUGCGAGUGUAGAGGUGAAAUUCGUAGAUAUUCGCAAGAACACCAGUGGCGAAGGCGGCUCACUGGCCCGAUACUGACGCUGAGGCACGAAAGCGUGGGGAGCAAACAGG
rnacentral:rRNA from 1 species